ACGAACGCUGGCGGCGUGCUUCACACAUGCAAGUCGAACGGAAAGGCCCUGCUUUUGUGGGGUGCUCGAGUGGCGAACGGGUGAGUAACACGUGAGUAACCUGCCCUUGACUUUGGGAUAACUUCAGGAAACUGGGGCUAAUACCGGAUAGGAGCUCCUGCUGCAUGGUGGGGGUUGGAAAGUUUCGGCGGUUGGGGAUGGACUCGCGGCUUAUCAGCUUGUUGGUGGGGUAGUGGCUUACCAAGGCUUUGACGGGUAUCCGGCCUGAGAGGGUGACCGGCCACAUUGGGACUGAGAUACGGCCCAGACUCCUACGGGAGGCAGCAGUGGGGAAUAUUGCACAAUGGGCGGAAGCCUGAUGCAGCAACGCCGCGUGCGGGAUGACGGCCUUCGGGUUGUAAACCGCUUUCGCCUGUGACGAAGCGUGAGUGACGGUAAUGGGUAAAGAAGCACCGGCUAACUACGUG
rnacentral:rRNA from 1 species